rnacentral:rRNA from 1 species
UACGUAGGUGGCAAGCGUUGUCCGGAUUUAUUGGGUUUAAAGGGUGCGUAGGCGGCUUUGUAAGUCAGUGGUGAAAUAUGGCAGCUUAACUGUCAGGGUGCCAUUGAUACUGCAGAGCUUGAGUACAGAUGAGGUAGGCGGAAUUGACGGUGUAGCGGUGAAAUGCUUAGAUAUCGUCAAGGACACCUAUAGCGAAGGCAGCUUACUAGGCUGUAACUGACGCUGAGGCACGAAAGUGUGGGGAUCAAACAGG